rnacentral:rRNA from 1 species
GACGAACGCUGGCGGCGUGCUUAACACAUGCAAGUCGAACGGAAAGGCCCUGCUUUUGUGGGGUGCUCGAGUGGCGAACGGGUGAGUAACACGUGAGUAACCUGCCCUUGACUUUGGGAUAACUUCAGGAAACUGGGGCUAAUACCGGAUAGGAGCUCCUGCUGCAUGGUGGGGGUUGGAAAGUUUCGGCGGUUGGGGAUGGACUCGCGGCUUAUCAGCUUGUUGGUGGGGUAGUGGCUUACCAAGGCUUUGACGGGUAGCCGGCCUGAGAGGGUGACCGGCCACAUUGGGACUGAGAUACAGCCCAGACGCCUACGGGAGGCAGCAGUGGGGAAUAUUGCACAAUGGGCGGAAGCCUGAUGCAGCAACGCCGCGUGCGGGAUGACGGCCUUCGGGUUGGAAACCGCUUUAGCCUGUGACGAAGCGUGAGUGACGGUAAUGGGUAAAGAAGCACCGGCUAACUACGU